rnacentral:rRNA from 1 species
GAUGAACGCUGGCGGCGUGCCUAAUACAUGCAAGUCGAGCGAAUGAUGAGGAGCUUGCUCCUCUGAUUUAGCGGCGGACGGGUGAGUAACACGUGGGUAAUCUGCCUGUAAGACGGGGAUAACUCCGGGAAACCGGGGCUGAUACCGGAUAACAAGAGAAGAAGCAUUUCUUCUUUUUGAAGGUCGGUUUUGGCUGACACUUACAGAUGAGCCCGCGCCGCAUUAGCUAGUUGGUGAGGUAACGGCUCACCAAGGCGACGAUGCGUAGCCGACCUGAGAGGGUGAUCGGCCACACUGGGACUGAGACACGGCCCAGACUCCUACGGGAGGCAGCAGUAGGGAAUCUUCGGCAAUGGGCGAAAGCCUGACCGAGCAACGCCGCGUGAGCGAUGAAGGCCUUCGGGUCGUAAAGCUCUGUUGUUAGAGAAGAACAAGUACGAGAGUAACUGCUCGUACCUUGACGGUACCUAACCAGAAAGCCACGGCUAACUACGUGCCAGCCGCCGCGGUAA